GCUUGAAAUUAAUUUCGAGCUUAAAUUUAAGCUCAAGCUUGGAUUGAAAUUAAUUCAAGCCAAGCUCGAGCGAGCCUAAUUUCGAGUCGAGCGAGCUCGAGCCCUAAACGAGCCGCUUGAAAUUCCCAACAUCAUACGAUCAAUAGUUUAAUUUGUAUAGAACAUUAUCUAUAAUUUGAUACAAAAAUGUCUAAUAGUUCAAAGUACAAAAUAAUUAUAUAAAAUAUAGUAUUAUAAUAUAAAAAAAUAAUUUAUGAAUUGAAUAUCUAAUCUUUUCAGCUCACAUGUCUUUUCUUCUGCCUUCAAUCUCCAUAUUAUUCAUUUUCAUUUAUGCAGUCAAAAAUAAAUAAAUUAUAUAGAUAAAUAUUGGAUUAA
rnacentral:lncRNA from 1 species